rnacentral:rRNA from 1 species
AACGAACGCUGGCGGCAUGCCUAACACAUGCAAGUCGAACGAGACCUUCGGGUCUAGUGGCGCACGGGUGCGUAACGCGUGGGAUCCUGCCCUUAGGUUCGGAAUAACUCCCCGAAAGGGGUGCUAAUACCGGAUAAUGUCUUCGGACCAAAGAUUUAUCGCCUUUGGAUGGGCCCGCGUUGGAUUAGCUAGUUGGUAGGGUAAAAGCCUACCAAGGCGACGAUCCACAGCUGGUCUGAGAGGAUGAUCAGCCACACUGGGACUGAGACACGGCCCAGACUCCUACGGGAGGCAGCAGUGGGGAAUAUUGGACAAUGGGCGAAAGCCUGAUCCAGCAAUGCCGCGUGAGUGAUGAAGGCCUUAGGGUUGUAAAGCUCUUUUACCCGGGAUGAUAAUGACAGUACCGGGAGAAUAAGCUCCGGCUAACUCCGUG